AGCUGUGCUUUUAGAAAGCAGCUCCUAACGAUUCCGGUCAUUCGCUCCGCGUAAAUCUUCCGGAAAUGUUUUCUCGCACAGCAGGAUCGACCGUCCGAGGCUUCCGCGGCGGCGGCUCGUCGGGUCGCGGCCGAUGCAGCAGGACUCGUCUAUCGGGAGCUAGAUUCGAGGCACGAUGGCGCCGGUGUGUUGGGCAUUGUGAAAAUCCUCGAGUGGCCGCGCGGAUACUCGAGGACUCGUGGGCGAGGAUUAAGAGAAAGACUACCAGUUAGAGGCGAUGACUGGCUGACUUUUUUGAGAGGCCACCACCGCGCCACCACCUCCACUACCACCGCCGCCGCCACCGUUGCCACUACUACCACCAUCACCACCACUACCACCCCGCCAGCAGCCGCCACCGAACCCACCACCAGUUUCCUACGGUUGAAUUGGCGGUGUUGAAAGUCGCAACAGGCUUGCGAGAAGAGUCGACCUUAAGCAGUACGGCCUUAAGGGCGUGUAUCCGCGCUCGCUUGGUGUCGGGUGGUGAGUUAUAAAUCGAUUUGUGUCCCGGCCAAUGAGGGUUGGAAGUGGCGCGUUCGGAUUGGCCAGUAGCCGGACCACUCCCACAGUGUUAAUAAAGGCUGUGAACGAAAGCCGGUUUUACAACGCCACAAUCACUGCUUCGCAAGAUGCAGUAUGCCUCGACCGGACGUUAGAUAUUCGAAUCUCUAAUCUCUCUCCUAUGAAUAGACGGAUAAUUUUUCCCAGCGCAAGAUUUCAGCUUUGGAUGUGUUGCUAUUACAAUUGCAACAUGAUAUCGCAAAUACUGACUAUAAACUGAACAUGUGGAAUAUAGCUUUGUGAUUUGCAACAAGUGCAUUCUAUGUAAGACUAAGAAAUUAUUUUUUGUUGUCUACAGUAUUGAUUUGUUAAUGUGAUUCUUUUAGAGAUACUACUUGUUGUCUUUUUACUAAUUAUUUCGUAGAUUACGAGAUGGUUGAAUUGUGAUUAAUAAUUGAGAAAAAUUGAUGUGUCGAUCGUUGCUACUAUCAUAAAAGGAUAAAAGAAUAUAAUAUUACCACAAUGCGAAGGUAACGGUAUCAGUUUCGCGUCAAAAGAUUAGUUAAUAUUAUGAAAAGUGCCAGCCCAUGAUGAAACACAUCGCAAUCAUUUGAUAUUCGCAAUUGUAAUAUUACUGAUACGUUAUUCAACAAUAGAAACGAGAGAGGAAACGCCCAUAAUUACCCGGAAAUACCGAUAGCUUAUGAUAUAAUGGCAGUGCAAUGAAUUCAAUAUGAUCCACAUCAUUUUCAGCUCACGUUAUCAAUUAAUUAAAUAAACAAUUUCGUUGCAUCAUGAAUUCAUAAUCUAAUAAAUCUAACUAUUAUCAAUGCCGGGCUGUAAUAACAAAUUAAUAAAUUAUUCACCUAACUGACUGCAUGUCACACCAAAUAUUCCACUUCUGUCAAGUAAUUAUUUCUCUCGCUCCCUUGGUGUUCGUUUUGUGGAAAUUUGCCCGCUUCACAAAUUAACUGCUCCAUUAGGAUUCUUGGAGGUUUGUGUUAAGACGGUUCUCGUGACCCAAAUCGUUUGGGAGGAGGUUAGGGAGAUCUGUAAGACACAUAAAAAAAAUUAUAAAACAAAAUAAUACAACGACGAAGGGUCGAAAAGAAAUAUAUCAGGAGUUGCGCGGGCGACUCGUACACUUCACGUCUCAUGAUCCAGGUUCGCGCUUCAAUCACAGCUGACCUGGCUGCGGCGCGUCGCUCGGACACGGCGAGCGUCUGCGAGCCAGCAUCCAGAGCUGUGCCAAGACCUAGAGUACCUCUUUUCCCCAUGGUGAACCGUUCUGCCGUAGGCGUAGCCACGUCGAGGCGUUGACGUUGCUAGACCCCACCUUCCCGUUGGUAACUAGGGCUAUGUCUACCCGGCUGGCUGUCUCAAAAAGCCGACCAAUCCACGAUGCGAGACGGCCACUGCCAGCGCGUAAAGUAGCGGAGGCGCCUUUGUCGCACUGGGUCUGUGAGGGGUCGCAGGACGGCAGGGCUAAAGGGUAGAGAGGGGAGAAAGCGGGGAGCGAGUUUGUGGGUGCAA